GUAGUCGGAUUCACUUCAAUCCAUGUGUAUUGAUGUGGGUUGGAGUGGAAUUUAGUUCAAGUUCUACUCCGAUCCACCUCAACACAUGUGGAUUGAUUUAAAUCCGACU
rfam:Sorghum bicolor cultivar BTx623 chromosome 8, whole genome shotgun sequence.